UACGAGAGCCCCGAGCGUUAUCCGGAAUUAUUGGGCGUAAAGAGUGCGUAGGUGGUUGUAUUAGUCGUUCGUUAAAUCUCUGGGCUUAACCUGGAAACUACAAACGAAACGGUACAACUUGAGAGUGUGAGGGGAAUAGGGAACUCAUGGUGUAGGGGUGAAAUCCGUUGAUAUCAUGGGGAACACCAAAAGCGAAGGCACUAUUCUGGCACACAUCUGACACUCCAGCACGAAAGCGUGGGUAGCGAAUGGG
rnacentral:rRNA from 1 species